GAAGCUGGCGCUCGAGCUCAGCACUGUCAUCAACGCUAUCAAGGGCCCUUCGCCACUCAUUCGCUUAGACAGCCUUCAUCCUGUCUGGGGGUUCACUGUGGAUUAUAUGCACUGUGUCCUACAAGGCGUUGCAAGGCAGUUUGCAGAGCUAUGGUUUGCAACAUGUAACUCAGAGGGGAGAUUUUAUGUCGGAAGUCCUUCUACGUUGAGCAGUGUAAAUGACCGUCUCCUGAAUAUCAGGCAGCCUCAUUGCUUCACCGGUCUACCCAGGACUGUCACAGAGCGCAGCUUUUGGAAUGCUAGUGAAUGGCGUUCGUGGGUGCUCUUUUAUGCCCUCCCUUGCACCCUCGGGCUACUACCAGACAAGUACUGCAAGCAUUUUUCAAAGCUCUCUGCUGCAUUACACAUCCUGCUUUCUGAAAGGAUCAGCCCUCGAAUGAUCGACCAAGCUGAGCUCCUGCUGAACCAGUUUGUUUGAAGUGCAGCAACCCU